rnacentral:rRNA from 1 species
GACAUAGGUCGCAAACGUUAUCCGGAAUUAUUGGGCGUAAAGAGCUCGUAGGCGGUCUGUCGCGUCGGAUGUGAAAAUCCAGGGCUCAACCCUGGACCUGCAUUCGAUACGGGCAGACUAGAGUUCGGUAGGGGAGACUGGAAUUCCUGGUGUAGCGGUGAAAUGCGCAGAUAUCAGGAGGAACACCGGUGGCGAAGGCGGGUCUCUGGGCCGAAACUGACGCUGAGGAGCGAAAGCGUGGGGAGCAAACAGG